rnacentral:lncRNA from 1 species
CAGAAGGCCAAACUGAUUUACACUAGGGCUCUGAAUGGAAGAUUGAGACCGGAUGCACUCACAUCUGGCUACUGAUACACACGUGCCCUCUUGCAAAACACUGCUGUUCUAGCAGAAUAUAUGCUGCUCGGAGGCAGCUUCUCUCUCUUCCCCUCAGUUUCUUGUGAUACUGCUGGUCUUGCUACUAAAAGAUUAAAAGGAGUUCUUAGGAAGUCAGUGCUAAUGAAAUAACCUAGAACAGAGCCUCCAGAGACUGUGACCUCUGCUUAUCCUUACGUUCAACAGGAGGCUGCCUGGAGCAAUUUAUCCUCUAAUCCCACGUAAACUUCGCUGCAAGAGUUACUACUGUGCCAGAUGCACAGUGGAGAAUCUCACCUCUAACAUGAGAGAUCCCAGACUGUAAGGAUGCAUCUGCAGCAACAGAGUAACAUCAGUUUCCUGACUGCUAGCAAGAUCCAGAAGGCUGAAGAAUACUUCAUUUCAAAGACAGGCAUGAAAGCCUGAUAGCUAAAAGAAGCAAAGACUUGCAGAGAACAGAUCUGCUCAGUGAGAUUCACGCACAGGACAGCUAUUUCUGGUUCAGCAGGCAGAUGUGUUUAUUCUUUGUCAGAAGGCGACACAGAUCGGUACCUGAAGGCAGUAAUCAUUUACAAGCAAGGGACUGUCACUACCCUAACGCAGGGCCCUUCCUCUCACAUCUCAUCAGAUGCCAGGGAGCGUGAAGUCACACAAACACAAACUCCUGGAAUAAGAUGCCAGUAAGCUACAUUACUGCCAGGGUGUUCUCCAGCUACUCUGGCACCUCCACCCCGUACAGGUCAAACAGUUCGCUGGGUAACUAACUGCACUUUCUUGAACAAGUUUACAGAAAAUUAGCCAGCAGAGCAAUGCUGUACCCCAAAAUGCCUCUGAUUACCUGACUCUUGAUGCCUUGCUGAGUGAUGAAGGUCUUCAGAGCCCCUGUUUCAGAGUUCUGAGGAUAGCCAAAAUCCAGGAUUUCUACAAGAGAGUAAAAGACAAUUAGCUCAGAGCCACAAGCCAGAAGUGCAACAGAGACAUGCCAACUACAUUAACAACUAUGGUAAGGAAAGGGUUACAGAACAACCAAAUGCAAUAUCAUACAGCUGGCCGAAGGGAAACAUCUCACCAUCCAGCAGCUCAUAGAUCAGCACGAAGUUGUUCUUUAUGUUUUCUUCACUGAUCUUUCCGAAGUAAGCAGUCAUCACGUCACACAUCUUGUAAAGAAACUCAAACACCAUGGCAGCGUUGACAUUCUGCUUGGUGACAGCAGCCAGCCAGAUGUUGGAACGCUUGACAUGGAAGAAACUUGUGCGGGCGAUGUUGGUGACAGGCGAGCGGACCUGCUGCCGUGCGUGGAUGACAUUGACGCGGAAGGCAUCCACGGCAUUCCGCCUACAAGACCAAAGACAAGUUACCACCACGUGCACAAAAACAGGUUGGCUGCACAGCUCUGCUUACGUGAUUACAGUCAGACAUUGAACUACACACACCCAGCUUACUUAGGAUAAGUGCCUGGGGAUGUCACAGCCAAGAGGGACAAAUGAAGGCUCUGAGCAGAGAUGGACAUUAAAAUCCCAUACAGACUCAAGGAAAUAAAGUUACUGGUUUCUGCAGUUUUGUAUGACAAUUCUAAUUGGAGGCAGAAAGAGAAGUUAACCUCCAUCUGGAGUCAGAUGGCAGAGAAAACCUUCCGCUUAUCUUGCUGAUCAAUUACCAUAGCCAGGAAUGAACACUAAAAAAGGCUGUGGCUCAAAGAAGAGUAUGGUUUUGACUGGGCUGUUUAUUAUCUAAUCCACGUGCCCAGGCCUUCAUACUCUUGCCCCAAAACAAAGCUGUAGUCUCCCCUGAUGUGACAGUUCCCCCAGAUAUACCUCUGAGUUAAAAAAAAACAACAGGAAAUCUGCCCAGGUCACCUGACAGAUGUCAGUGCCUGUGUACACCACGAAGGGCAGUUUUAAUUCUCAGAUUCAUCUCACCUCCACAUCCCAGGUACCAUGGAGGGCAGGCUGAAAGCAGCAAGUAGGAUUAGGAACAUUCCUGACUUUCCAGUUACGUGUCCUUUCUAGCCUGCUAUGCUUCAGAACAGGUCUCUUGAAGACAGUAACA